GCUUACGGCCACACCGGCCUGAGUACGCCUGAUCUCGUCCGAUCUCGGAAGCUAAGCAGGGUCGGGCCUGGUUAGUACUUGGAUGGGAGACCCCUGGGAAUACCAGGUGCUGUAAGCU
rnacentral:rRNA from 1 species